rnacentral:rRNA from 1 species
GAUCAUGGCUCAGGAUGAACGCUAGCUACAGGCUUAACACAUGCAAGUCGAGGGGCAGCAUUUCAGUUUGCUUGCAAACUGAAGAUGGCGACCGGCGCACGGGUGAGUAACACGUAUCCAACCUGCCGAUAACUCGGGGAUAGCCUUUCGAAAUAAAGAUUAAUACCGGAUGGCAUAUGAUUAUCGCAUGAUAAUCCUAUUAAAGAAUUUCGGUUAUCGAUGGGGAUGCG